AGUGGGGAAUAUUGGACAAUGGGGGCAACCCUGAUCCAGCAAUGCCGCGUGUGUGAAGAAGGCCUGCGGGUUGUAAAGCACUUUUGGCAGGGAUGAAAAGCACUGGAUUAAUAACCCAGUGUGUUGACCUAACCUGCAGAAGAAGCACCGGCUAACUCUGUGCCAGCAGCCGCGGUAAUACAGAGGGUGCAAGCGUUAAUCGGAAUUACUGGGCGUAAAGCGCGCGUAGGCCGUCGAGUAAGUCGGAUGUGAAAUCCCCGGGCUUAACCUGGGAAUUGCAUUCGAUACUGCUUGGCUAGAGUGUGGAAGAGGGAAGCGGAAUUUCCGGUGUAGCGGUGAAAUGCGUAGAUAUCGGAAGGAACACCAGUGGCGAAGGCGGCUUCCUGGUCCAACACUGACGCUGAGGCGCGAAAGCGUGGGGAGCGAA
rnacentral:rRNA from 1 species